AGUUGUUUUGGUUUUGUGGUGAUGUGGUAGUGAUCGUGACUGGGGACUUUCCUGGACUAUCCGAGGGUUUUGCUGGAGGGUAUACAGCGGUGUGACAAAGCCAACAGCUGGAGCAGGAAGAUCCUUCUUGGCGUAGAGGGCAGGGUGGUUAAGCAACUCUCUCAAGGGCCCCCGUGGGGGUGGAUUUAUCCCAGCAAAGCCAAUGCCUUCUGUCUCAAGGCCAGAGGCUUCUACGAGCUGCUUCCGGUGAUGGUGUCGCGGCUUAGCUCGUGUCAGCAGCCUACUUGGGGCCGAGGUUACUCCCGGACGAAAUGAGGGUGGCCAAAAUGCAGGUGAACACCAGUUUAGGAUGUCUUGGGUGCAACACAACCUCUACGUGGCAACAGACUUCACGGAGAUGCUGCCCCAGACCAGAGGGUUCACCAGGGCUCGUAAUCCCUCACGCAACGUCUGCAGGGAGAUCAGGCUUCUGGCUUUUCCAGACUACACUCUCAGGGAGUCCGGAUCUUUCACCGCACGGGGUCGCCCGAGAAAAAAAGGGAAAUCACUGCUGGAGUUCGAUCCUCGAGCACUGCAAAACCCACAAGGGAAGGAAAGGUAAGUAGAGUGUGUGAGAGGAAGGGAAAUUUUAUCGCACUAGGAGCUAUUCAGGAUGCUAGUUCCACCAGCGAUUCUGAAUGCUUCCAGCCAGUGCAAGAUUAAGGGAUCUCGGCCACCAGGAGCUAUUUAGAGCGCCAGUCUCAGCCCGCGCUUCUAAAUGCUUCUGACCAGGGCAAUACAGAGGGACUCUCAAGUGCUACCGGGAGCUAUUUAGAGCGCUAGAUUAACCCGCGCCUCUGAAUGCUCUAUCCAGCAACAGUAGAGGUGACAGGAAUGGCCACUGAGAGCUAUAAGGAGCGUGGCUUUUAUGCUACGCUGCGGUCACACACAUACACUAAAUCACCAGAGUUGGCUUUAAGAGUGUGCCAAAGGAAUUGAUUACAUUGUCAAAACCAACAACUAGGUCAUUGCCCGAUAUUUCUGGUGUUCGCCUGAAGUAUACGGGGAUUUUACAAAAAGGCAUUUUUCGCCCCUAAAACACUCAUAGGGUGCCGAAUCCCACCCCAAAAGGAUUCGACACAACA